CUCCGCCGCGAUCGACGCCAGCGAAGUGAACAAAUUUAGCGUCUCCGUUGACCGUUGUGAUGAGUUCGUGGUUGCGCGAGGAGCCAUCAGCCCAUCAAUGGUCGCGUUAAUGGUUACAUGGCCAGGGUGGUGGUUAAGGUGAGCGGGAGCAUCCACCGCAAGAUCUGUUCCUUCGGUGAUGCGGCGGCGCAUAAGCUUGACAGAUCUUUGAUGGCGGAGCUUCGAAAUGAGGUGGUGCUGUGAUGAAGGUGGCGCCGGUGAUCGCCUUGUCGCAACAGCCGUCGGAGAUGGGAAAAGAGAGAAAUGGAAUGGAGGACCGAGUGGCGGUGGCUGAGGUGGAGAAAUAAUAAGCGGCGAAG